rnacentral:rRNA from 1 species
GGGCCCGCACAAGCGGCGGAGCAUGCGGAUUAAUUCGAUGCAACGCGAAGAACCUUACCAAGGCUUGACAUAUACCGGUAACGGCCAGAGAUGGUCGCCCCCUUGUGGUCGGUAUACAGGUGGUGCAUGGUUGUCGUCAGCUCGUGUCGUGAGAUGUUGGGUUAAGUCCCGCAACGAGCGCAACCCUCGUUCUAUGUUGCCAGCGGUUCGGCCGGGGACUCAUAGGAGACUGCCGGGGUCAACUCGGAGGAAGGUGGGGAUGACGUCAAAUCAUCAUGCCCCUUAUGUCUUGGGCUUCACGCAUGCUACAAUGGCCGGUACAAAGGGCUGCGAUGCCGUAAGGCGGAGCGAAUCCCAAAAAGCCGGUCUCAGUUCGGAUUGAGGUCUGCAACUCGACCUCAUGAAGUCGGAGUCGCUAGUAAUCGCAGAUCAGCAACGCUG